UGCCAGCCGCCGCGGUAAUACGGAGGGGGUUAGCGUUGUUCGGAAUUACUGGGCGUAAAGCGCACGUAGGCGGAUCAGAAAGUAUAGGGUGAAAUCCCAGGGCUCAACCCUGGAACUGCCUUAUAAACUCCUGGUCUAGAGACCGGGAGAGGUAAGCGGAAUUCCUAGUGUAGAGGUGAAAUUCGUAGAUAUUAGGAAGAACACCAGUGGCGAAGGCGGCUAACUGGCUCGGUACUGACGCUGAGAUGCGAAAGCGUGGGGAGCAAACAGGAUUAGAUA
rnacentral:rRNA from 1 species